UUGUUAGUACCCAACUGAUGACAAGGAUUACAAUGUUUUGUGCAAAUGCCACAUUUAGUUUGCAAGGAAAACUUAGCAUAUGAGAGCUGAUUUGGGUGUGCUGUUUUCCCUGCUUCUUACCACUCUUCACAGGUUCUGCUCAAAGCUACUUCCACUAACGGUAAUGCAGUUCCAACCUCUUCAACGACAGCAGAGUGACCCAGACCACCUUCCUUGAGAAUUUCAGAGCUGCAGCCCACAGCCAGGGCCACGGUGGACUCAGCUCUCCACCCUGUGGUGAUAUUACAAUUCUUGUUGUGUUCAUAGCCGUGGGCUUGUUCACCUCGGAGUGUCAAGGGCGUGGCACAGACACCCCCAGAUUUCCAUUCUGUGUUAUGAAGUCCGGAUUGUUUUUGCUACACCUGCAAAAUAUCUCACAGCUGUGAGCUGUGGCAAAAGAUGAGUCCAAAGACAUGCUCAGUGGGCUGGUGAGGACCCAGGAAGGGCUGUCCCACUGGGAGCUCCCAGCAUCUGCAUCCUCUCUUGAUUUUGCCGUGACAUCCAUCGAGGUGUGCAAGGCUUCUAAAGGCGGAGUCUUGCUAAAGUGACUAAGUGGGAGACAGAGGAAGAGGGAAGGAUUCAAUAAACCCAGAAUCUGAGAAGGACCGAGAUGAAUUCUGUGAGAAUUUCUUGUUUGCUAGGCUCCUUUGGAUUACUCUAAUAUGUUAUCUCAAUUAAACCACAUUGCAACACCAUUAAGUAAAUACAAUUGAUAGUUCUUCUGAUGGUGAAAACCAUCAGAUUCAAGAAUGGUUAUAAACCUUACUCAAAUACUAUAUUAGCCUGGAGUCUGAAGCUCAUAGUCUUAACCACUACUUUAUAUUAAAAACCAGGUUUGCCCUAUGAAUUUUA